GCUGACUUAGCUCAGUUGGUAGAGCAUCUGUCUUGUAAACAGAGGGUCGGAGGU
rnacentral:tRNA from 1 species